AGAGCGAACGCUGGCGGCAGGCCUAACACAUGCAAGUCGAGCGCCCGUAGCAAUACGGGAGCGGCAGACGGGAUAGUAACACGUGGGAACGCGCCCUUCGGUUCGGAAUAACUCAGGGAAACUUGAGCUAAUACCGGAUACGCCCUUACGGGGAAAGAUUUAUUGCCGAAGGAACGGCCCGCGUCCGAUUAGCUAGUUGGUGAGGUAAUGGCUCACCAAGGCGACGAUCGGUAGCUGGUCUGAGAGGAUGACCAGCAUCACUGGGACUGAGACACGGCCCAGACUCCUACGGGAGGCAGCAGUGGGGAAUAUUGGACAAUGGGCGCAAGCCUGAUCCAGCCAUGCCGCGUGGAUGAUGAAGGCCUUAGGGUUGUAAAGCACUUUCGACGGGGACGAUGAUGACGGUACCGUAGAAGAACGCCCGGCUAACUCGUGCCAGCAGCCGC
rnacentral:rRNA from 1 species